rnacentral:rRNA from 1 species
GGAUAGUUCCUUGAACCGCAUGGUUCAAGGAUGAAAGACGGUUUCGGCUGUCACUUACAGAUGGACCCGCGGCGCAUUAGCUAGUUGGUGGGGUAAUGGCUCACCAAGGCGACGAUGCGUAUCCGACCUGAGAGGGUGAUCGGCCACACUGGGACUGAGACACGGCCCACACUCCUACAGGAGGCAGCAGUAGGGAAUCUUCCGCAAUGGACGAAAGUCUGACGGAGCAACGCCGCGUGAGUGAUGAAGGUUUUCGGAUCGUAAAGCUCUGUUGUUAGGGAAGAACAAGUGCGAGAGUAACUGCUCGCACCUUGACGGUACCUAACCAGAAAGCCACGGCUAACUACGUGCCAGCAGCCGCGGUAAUA